UACAGAGGAUGCAAGCGUUAUCCGGAAUGAUUGGGCGUAAAGCGUCUGUAGGUGGCUUUUUAAGUCCGCCGUCAAAUCCCAGGGCUCAACUCUGGACAGGCGGUGGAAACUACCAAGCUGGAGUACGGUAGGGGCAGAGGGAAUUCACGGUGUAGCAGUGAAAUGCGUAGAUAUCGUGAGGAAGACCAGUGGCGAAGGCGGGUCUCUGGACAGUUCCUGACGCUGAGGCACGAAGGCCAGGGGAGCAAACGGG
rnacentral:rRNA from 1 species